GGAUGAAGAACGUAGCGAAAUGCGAUAACUAAUGUGAAUUGCAGAAUUCCGUGAAUCAUCGAGUCUUUGAACGCACAUUGCGCCCCCUGGUAUUCCGGGGGGCAUGCCUGUCCGAGCGUCAUUACAACCCUCAAGCCCGGCUUGUGUAAUGGGCGGCCGUCUCUCCCCCCGGGGGGAGACGCCCCCGAAACUCAGUGGGGAUGUCGCGAUACCGAAGCCUCAGCUAAUGGGUAAACCACAGCUGCAAUGGCCGCGGCCGGCGUCCGCCUUCCACGGUCCGUCCGCCUAGCGCGGGCGGCCUUCUCAAGGUUGACCUCGGAUCAGGUAGGGAUACCCGCUGAACUUAAGCAUAUCAAUAAGCGGAGGA
rnacentral:misc_RNA from 1 species